CAUAUAAUAAAUAAAAUAAAAUAGUUCAAAACAUACAUUCAAAAAAUAAUGUUUCACUUGAAUGUUGUCAUAAAUAGGUCCAAGGUCGUAUUCAGUCCCACUCAAAAGUUCCUCAACUUUUCCCUGACAAAGUUUCUAUAUUAUUAAGCCGAUUCAACAAGUUGCAGAGGUAUAUGUUUCGACGCAGCCUUGUUUGCAGUAGGUGGCUUAGUGCAAACUGACUAGCACCGAACUCACAGAUCAAAUCUCUGUUUGUGCGCAGCGGCAACCCUCUCCACUUACUUCGCUUCCCUCUCUCUCUCUCUCGCUCUCUCUCUAGCUCUCUCACCCACUCUUUCUAGCUCUCUCUGAACUCUCUCCGUCCCAGUGUGUGUAUGUCUCUCUCUCUCGCUCUCUCUCUCUCUGUUUUUUUUACAGUGAAGGCAUUCUUUCAGGAUGGCGCCAGGCAGCUCAAUGCUUGCAGACAGCUGGGGCGCGACGCAACUUAAGGAGGGUCUGUCAGUGUCAUCAGUGGGGGAGGGGCCUGCCCUGCUAGCCCUAAUUGAAUAUUGUGGGCCAGGAGAGAUGACCAAGAACUGCUGCAAGGAUUUUUCUUUCACAGACCCUGCAAGAGUCUCACCAAUAGUGCUGCGCAAAGCACUGACACAGGCAGUCUCUGCGACGCCACUGGACGUGACGUCAUCUCCAGAGUAAACAGCCAGGAAAUGAACCCUCUCAGCAAGCAGAGCGCGCAGGCUGUUCUGGAGAGGAAAUGCGCGCGCCCUUUUCCAGUAAAGCUGUCCAAACAGCCGCGAGGCGCGGAUCCAGGGUGAACCAGAGGACACCACCUCGAGCAGCGGGCCUCGCCCGGCACUCUCUCUACGCGCUGGAGCUACUUCACUCCAGUCACCACUGGAAUACAUGAUUAUUAUCUUGAUGAAGAGGGAGGAAAAAAUUAAAACGCGAAGGAGAGAGAAACGCAGUCGGACUUCCAUGUGUGUGUUACAGGAUAAUUUAAAUGUAAUCAACGAACAACUAUUUAUUAUUAUUACUAUUAAUAAUGAUAAUAAUAAUAACAAGGCUUUUGAUAUAUGCUGAAACAGAGAAAAAAUGACCCCGAAGACAGGCAUUUUCAAAUAAUUAAAAACGAUAUCAUGCAUGACAAAAUUUGAAACCUCGAGUUGGGGCGUGUGGCAUAUAGCCUAUAAAUAUAGGCUACAGGUAUCUGACGACUAAUGCCACAAUAUUCUCUGAUCUUUUCAAGAACAACGCUUCUUGUUGUACUCAAUUAACUAUGUGAACCAGUUCAGAUUCUUAGAACCAAAACGAGGGCGUGAAAUUAUUCUCGGUGUGAAUGAAACUUGUAAAAUGAGGUGUAUUUCUUAGAAUGAUUCAAACGAGAAAAUAUUUUGGAACAUUGUACCUCGAGUACAGAUUAUGUUUUCGGUAAUGCUUUAGCUUCAGUAACAAGAAAAAGAGAUGAAGGUACUCUGUCAAUUGAGUGAGAGGGAUGCUUAUCCGUGUGAUCGCUAUUCACCUCCUCUUUCUUAACGGCGGCAUCGCCAGGCCCACACCGCCUCCAUUUGGAUGCUACUGCUUUCGGUUACUCUGCUUUAAACAACAUCAACUGUAGUGCUCUUAGGGCGUAUUUUACCAAAAAUUCCAUUGACAGUUGUUGAAUUUAUUCACCCCUUUUUACAUAACAAAGUGUUAUUGCUAAUUAGCAUACAGAUCAAACACGUCUAAAUAAAUCCGACAGGUAGCUAACAUCAUUUGAGAACUUCAUAAACACACAAACAAAGAACUUCGACAUAUCAACAUUUCAAGCCACGCUCAGUGUGCUGCCCAUCUCUGUCGUGGUCUGAUUUGGAGAUUGGAGGCAGAUUGUAUCCUUAUUUAAAAGGUAACCCACCUCGUGAUUAUGUGAGUGGCCAGCCUCCCUAUCUCCAGAACACAGCUGUUGGGGAAGUAUUCAGCAUAAAUCAAUAGAACAGCGCGCGAUUUCCCAGCCCGUUCUGUUCUCUGUAUGCAAAUAACCGCUCGAGCUCUGCCCAUGAUAGCGCGACUGUGAUGUCCUUAAUUUCGUUUCCUAUUCAUUCUAUGUAACAGCUCAUCUCCAAAUCAAGCCAUAUCGACCACAGACGUGAUAGAAAAGGGGGAAUGCAGCAUCAGCAAAUCCAACUCCUUUCUUUUAUGACCCAUUGGCGAGGUAAUCAGAUCAAUUUCAUGGGUUAAGGGAUUCUGCCUGUCACCAACUCAGGUGGUAAUAGAUCAUUAAAAUCCUUCAUCUUCCGUAUUUCGGGAGACGCGAGGUAGGUAAAAUACUCUCAGAAUCUAGUACGUUAACUGCAAUAAAUUCCAAAGCAAUUUGGAAACGUGAAAAACGAAAAAAGGAACGAUUUAUUAAAACGAUUAUCGAAGACCACCUAUUUACAGUACAUAUAUUUUUAUUUUCGAAAACUACUUUAGACUGAAUAUCCCCUAGCCUAACGCCUGUCACAAACGCGGCCAAACACAUAUAGGCUACAGUAAAAACAUAAGAGACAACAAUGGCGUCGCGUGUGUCUUUUUAACCACUUUUCUGUUUGACAGACAUGCAGAAAAGCUCUACACAUGUUGAGAAAACGGAGCUGUUUAACCGGCCUCUGCAGUUCACUUAGAAAAAAGCAUGUGUGCCUUUUUCCUCAAGAUGCACUACAAAAACGCUAUAUUUGAAAAUCGUUUUUAAAGCCAUGGAACAAACUUGCUCAUCAAUUCAUUUCUGGACAUACGCCUGGCUGGACAGAACGCACAGAGGGAGGCUGGAAGGGACUAACUAGUAUGUACCUUUAAGAGCUAUACUUUGUGUUCUUCGCUGAAGGACAGCCAGACAGACAGACUUGCUUUAUAGAAAUCUAAAUAUUUACUGACCUGUG